CAUGCGCGCACACGGUGCCUGUGGUGCAGGAACCAAGAAGCAGCUGCGCAAAAGCCGUAGUGCGGUCGUCCUUCACCCCCGCCCCCUUCGCCGUUUUUCACUUGAUACCGCUUCGCGCGGCAUGUUGUUUUCGCCCCUUCUGUCUGCUUCUCCUCAGGGAUUUCCUUCCUUGUGACUGCGAUUCCCACGCGCUCGAAAGACCGAGGUGCCGAGAGUUUGCCAUUUUGCGGGAGCGUGUGUGUGUGUGUGUGUGUGUGUGCGGUAUUGCCUGCCGCACGCUUCGACUCCUUGCGCGCUUGUUCUUUGCUUUUGUUUCGUUUUCGCCUUGUCGUUUUUUUUUUGUUUGUUGGCUUGUUUGUACUCGGCGAGUGGCGUAUCGCUGUUCUCUUCUUGUCCUCGAGCGCCUUUGAGUACGUGGACUAACUCUGGAAAGCACAGAGACACCACCAACACAAAGACGCACUUAGAGGCGAAUCGCCAUGGCGUCUUUUCUGCGCACGUUUGCGAUACUGUGCAUCAUCGCUGGCGUAUUACUGCAGGGCAGCACAGCGCGGGCACCCCCGCGAGCGGUACGAGCAUUUGAGACCAAGUUCAACUCUGUGAGUCAGGCGUGCCGCGGCGUUCUCGAAACGGAGUGCCCAUCGGAUGGGUUGGCGCGCACAGACUGCUUGAUGGAGCACAUAGUGGACAAUGCCAACCAUGAGUGCAAGAUGUGGCUCUCCUGGCGAGCUAAUUGCUUUGCCUACGCCACGGUGUACCUCAUACCCCAGGGCAAGUGCAAUUUUAAACCGCAUCAGGCGACGUCGCAGCUGAUCCGGAACUGCCUCCGCAACACGGAAAAGAGCGAGCUGCCGGCGGUCUGCUCCGGCUCUCCCUACUACAAGUCACUCACGCUGCGCGUCCCACGGCGCAUGGACAGCGAUGCCGCCGCCGACCUGUAGAGACGCGAAAAAGGUUGCGCACGGCAGGAGAUUGGCGGCGCAUGCGUCGGCGUAGCUCUCUCAACACUUUCUGCAGAAGACAGGCCGCCAUGUGUGCUAUCCUCUUCAGGUUUUGACGUGCCUGAGCUUCUUUGCGGGCGUGACACUUGGCUUAUGGGAAAGCACACUGGGGAUCUUCGGUUGCGCGUCAUGUGCCUACUUCACGCCGGGCCUCCUAUACACGCCCUUUCCAGUCCCCCUUUUUUUGUAGACUUCGUCUUCGAUGGUGAUGCGUGCCGGCUUUGCUCGUUUCUGCCACCAUUGUGAAGAGCCCCGCGCAGUAGUGUUACGAUAAAGUGGCACGUGACCUCUUUUGAGGCCUCUCUCUGCCUCUGUCUUUUGCUUUAUGCUCUCUUAAUCAACUGCAUGCAUCACAACUUGCGUUUCUGUUUACCAGGUGGAAGGGAGGAUGCUCCCCCCCCAA
rnacentral:misc_RNA from 1 species